rnacentral:rRNA from 1 species
GUGGCAGCUCUGUGCCAAACGUGGCUGGCAGUUCAUGAAGGGAUGGGGCGCCAACCUUGGGCGUGAUCUCCACGAACGCAAGAAGGCUCUGUUGACCGCUAUCAAGGCCCUGGACCUUCGGGCAGACGCGACCGGCCUCUCCCCCGAGGAGUGGCUCUCCGAUACAACCUGGAAGACCAACUCUCCAUCAUCAACACCGACGAGGAGGCCUAUGCGUCUCGGGGCUCCCAGAAAUGGGUAUUGAAGGGCGACGUGAACACGGCCUACUUUCAGGCCAUUGCGAAUGGCCGUCAUAGACGCAACACCAUCCCCCUCCUCUGGGAUGGCGCGACCCUUCUGCAGUCCCCAUGUGACAUACGGGCCCACGUCGACGGGUUCUACAAGAUCCUUUUUUCCUCCGCUCCUAGGAGCGGACUAUCUCUGGCCCAUGACUGCUGGGUCGGCCCCGAGCUAGUUUCCGCUGCUGAGAAUGCGGCCCUUACGGCUCCUUUCUCCGAGGGCGAGGUCUAGGCUGCCAUUAGAGGCAUGAACCCUGCCUCGGCCCCGGGUCCUGAUGGCCUCCCGGUUAAAUUCUUCCAGACCUUCUGGAAUGUGAUUAAGCCUGAGAUCAUGGCCAUCUUCGACGAGUUCUACGUUGGGUCCAUCGACCUCGGUCGCAUCAACUAUGGGAUCAUUUCGCUCAUCCCUAAAGUGCCAGGGGCAUCUGACAUCAGCCAGUUCCGGUCGAGCACGGUGAUCAAUGUGAUCUUCUGGAUUCUGGCAAAAGGAUACGCCAAUAGGGCGACCCUGCUUACGGAUCACAUUACCCACCCCAACCAGUCCACCUUCAUUCAAGGGUGGUAUAUCCUGGAUGGGGUGCUAGUCCUUCAUGAAGUCCUCCAUGAGGUCCGGUCUAAACACCUCAGGGUGGUCUUCCUGAAGAUCGAUUUCCAUAAGGCGUAUGACACUGUCAGCUGGCCCUUCCUUCGGGAAGUUUUGCUCCGGAAGGGCUUCGACGACCGUUGGAUCACCCGAGUGAUGCAAAUGGUGUCCUGUGGUCGCACCGCCGUGAACAUCAACGGGGAGAUCGGCCCCCUACUUUCCCACCCCUUGUGGGGUUAA